AAAGGGUUUCUACCAACUAAACCCCAACUGUUGCCUCUUUCAUCGUCACAACUUGCUAGAUUUGUCAAAGUUUUAGGCGAAGACCACUUUUUUCAGUCUAUGUUCAGUCAUUUUGGGGAAAGCAUUAAUUGCUCUCACCCUCUCUCCUCCAUGCCAUCGUGUUUCAACCAUAGAAGAGUUCGGGUGAGGAGCAAAAGGCUUCUAUUCCAAUCUCGACUAAAGGGUUGCACAUAGAAGAGGUAAACACAAUUCCUCUCAAUUUUAGUUUUUGCAUUCUUUAUGUGUUUUAUUUUUGAUUAUGUGAAAAUGUAUUUAUCUCGUGUUGUUAUGCUUUAGUAUGAUAUUUUGUUAAGCCUGUUUUAUUUAAUUUAGGUACGUUUCUGCCUAUUAGGUUCAUGUUUAGGUCAUAUUAUAUGAUGCAUAUGUUGUUUUAGUAUAUGUUAAGAGGGAUUAUGAUGUUGAUUAGUCAAAUGCUUUAUGAUGUUUGCUACUGUUUAGUUCAUGAUUAAUGAUAACUGAGUAAUUAUUUGCUAGCCUGUUUAGUUGACUGUUAAUACUUAGAUAUGUAGUGUUAGGUUCAUAUUUAGUAUUAUGUGAUGUGUAUACUGUUUUAGUACUUGUUUAGUAAAGAUUAUGAUGUGGGUGAUUAGCAUGAUGUUUGUUUUCACUUUGCGAGUCAUGACUUGUGGCAGUUGGAAUCUGAACGUGUGACUAUGGUUGGGUCCUUUACAUGUUUUAAGAUCACAUUUAAUAGUAACAACAAAGUUUUAGUUUCCUUGUGAACUUAGACAUAUGUUUGUAACCUGUUUACAUACUUUGUAUGACCAAAUGAGUAGUGUUAGACAUGUUUGCUUUAAAUCCCUAUUUGUCUGUGUCACGACCCGACUAGGGGCCGUGACGGGUACCCGAGGCUAACCACCGAGCACCACUCGUUCUACUACUUAUCAUGCUCAUUAAACGCUCUUUUAUCAAAUUCACACUCAAAUUAUAAGAAAAACAUCUUUCAUUUGAAAACAUAAAUACUUUCAUAUACAUAUGCCUCUCGGCCAUCAAAAUAAUAUAUAUACAUAGUAGCAAUCUCGUGAGACCAUAUAACCCACACUGCGUAUCUACGAGCCUCUACUGGAGUGCUAGACAUAAGGACGGGACAAGACCCCGUCAUGCCCAAAAUAUAUAUACACAAAAGAAUAAUCAUAAGCACCUCCGGACAAUGGAGUGCUCUCAAAUCAGCUGCUAGCUCCUACGAGUCUGGAUCAGGAUCACCUCCCUGCCUACUUGUGGGCAUGAACACAGCGUCCAAAGAGAACGGACGUCAGUACGAACAUUGUACUGGGUAUGAGAGGCAUAAACAAUAAUGAAACAUCAAUGAAAUGAGGAGGCAUCAAAUGAGGAGCAAUCUGUAACUGAAUGUGAAUCAUAAAAGAAAUAAAUCAUGCUGUCUUACUCACACUCAUCAUUAUAUCAUAUAUGCAUAAAUGUAUAAGUAUAAGCUGCCCGUCCAUGUAGGUACGGUGUAAUAAUAAGUAACCUGCGUCCAGGCCUCCCGCGUCCGGGGUAUAAGCUGCCCACUAUAGUGGUGUGUAUAUCUGCCCGACCCUAUAGGUACGGUGUAAUAUCAUCAUCAUACGCUCAUUAUAAUAUGCUCAUCAUAGUAUGCUCAUCAUAAUAUGCUCAUCAUAAUACAUGCAUGAAGACUCCAAGACAACUAUCUUUAUCGGGGUGACGUAAGGUCGUGAUCCCCCGAUUUCAUUAUGAAGCAUUCACAAGCAUUCUGCCUCACCUUGAAGGAAGUAGUAUAUAAGGUGAGUGUGUACAAUGCAUAACAUCAUCGACUUUAUAGUACUCUGCCUCACCUUGAAGGAACAAUACAUAAGGUGAGUGUAUACAAUACAUGACAUACUUAACUUAAUGGUAUUCUGCCUCACCUCGAAGGGAAUAAUGUAUGAGGUGAGUGUAUACAACAUACGACAUCAUUAGCACUAUAGGAACGUCAUAUCAUGAACUCUAGAGUCUUUAGACUCAAGCUUAUCAUCAUCAUCAUUGGACUCAUAAUGUAUCUCUCAUCUCAUAUAGCUAUUCAUGAACAUAGACUAUUAGUUUUCUUGAAGAUAGGAAAUUCUUGAAGAAGGACGAAAUUCAUACCAUAAGAUUCAUGCCAUAGAAAGAAAGGACUAGCCUCACAUACCUUUUCGUCUAGCUACUCUAUCGCUUGAACGUUCCUCUCCAAUAUGUACGCUUCUACCUUCAAGAGAAUUCGCAUUAACGUUAGUUAAUCGACUAUAAGAACGUGUUACUAUUUUUAGGGAAAGUUGGGCUGCAUUUCCCUUGUUUAUACUACUUUCCCCAUAUUCUAUAUCAACUCCCAAACGUUCAUAACAACAUUCAUCAUUUAUUUACAUUUACCACAAUUCACCAUUUCCCUUCAAUUUCUCCACAAUUAUGGUCAUAGCUCAUUAUCGCGUUGUCUCAUAUAUAAUACUUAUUCCAUGGUCUAUAGGUCAUUCAUAACAUGUUUACAAUCACAACAUACCAAUAUUCAUAAUUCAAUCCAACUAUUGUUCAACAAUGACUCUAUUCACUCAUUUAUGACCCAUUUUCUAUACUCUUCUACAAUCCAAGUGUUUAAACUUAUCAAUACUUCAAACAUCAUGAAAAUACCAUGAAACGUACCUUAGAUAGUGUAGAAACAAGACUUGAAUGAGAAUACUCUUCUAGCACCAAAACCCUAUUUCACUUUUCUUGGGAUUUCUUGGCUUGGAUGACUUUAAUGGGUUUCACACUCUUGAUUCUUGUUGGUUUGAUGAAGUUGAUCAUCAAUUUCCUUUGGAUUCUUGUGGAUGAAGAGUGGAGAGAAUAUUCUAGAGGUUUCUUGACUUGUGGAGUGAAAAUGAAAUGAAAAUGAAAUGAGGGAGAGGUCCUUUAUAUUAAUUCACAAUCUGUCCCGACCAGAACAUACGGACCAACAUACGGUCCGUAUAUUUUUCACUGACCGUAUGUCUGGUCCAGUGAAGUGUUCCAUUCUGGGCUGGACAUACGGUCCGUGUAUUUUAUACGGCUAGUAUGUCUGGCCGUAUAAUGUCCAGCUAUCCGAGACUUGUUCUCGUCGACUCGUUUGAUCUCUGAUCCUUAUGGAACCUUCUUGACACUUGUUUAACACCUCAAUACCAAUCUAAGGGACGUUAUUACUCUUCUCUAAGAUGUCAUUACACCAUCAUUAACUCGUCGCUUAAAAUUCCUACCCGACACAUAACAUAUCCUUUACUUUCUUUGUCAAACUUCUUCCUUUUGGUCAAAUGUCUUUGAAUCUCGAUUUGGCUCAUCGAAUGCUAUCUCGUACUUAUCAAAUCAUCAUAUACGUCGUGCUAUUCCCUAGCCUAUUCACUGUACAUUAACGGAGAAUUUUCCACGGUGUAACAGUCUGUUUAUAAACCUAUGUGAAUGAGUUUGAGAUAGUCAAAAUGUGAUGGAUGAGAGAGAGCAUUUUUUGUUCUGUGUGGUUUGGACUUUGUUGAUCAGUUGUAGAUUCAAAAUGCUGAGACAUGCUUAUCUUGUUGAGUUCCUUUAACUGGUUCAUCCUCCCAAUAGGUGUUUGGUUUGUUUGUUAGCUGUGGUAUGCUAGUUAGCCAACUUGUCAACAUGUUUGAGAACCAUUUUGACUAUACUGUGCCUUGUUUGAAGUGUCAACCCUUACCAUGUCUGAUAAAUAAAUAUAGUCUUGUAUGUUCAGUUUAGCCUAAAUAACCCUGUACCUGAGGUGCUAUUUUUGAGUGGUUGUCUAAUCAUCCCUGUUUGGCUCACAGGUUUACUGAACUGAUUACACUUACCUUUCCUGUUUAGAUGUUAAAAAAUGCAUCUAUGUUAGUAUGUAAAACCUCUUAAGUUAUCUUGUGUCCUGCAUUGCCUGUUGAGUUGUUUAAAUGGUUCUUACAUUAGCGUUUCACACUUACAUAAUUAGCCUAUACCAUGUUAGAUCAUAGCCCUAGUUGCAUUCCAUGCUUAGCUUAUAACCCUGUUUCACGUAGUAAGCAUGUGUAAGGUAUAACUUGAUAGUGAAAGUCCCUAAGUGAAUGAAGAAUUUGGUAAUGAUUUGAAAAUGUUUCACCUAGGAAUAAGAAAUGCCUUUGCCUCUUGAUAAUUUGCAUACAUAUGUCUAAAACUGUCCAUUUAGGAGUAUGUGUUUAUUCUCUUGGUUUUUGCAUCUGUUCAUGUGAUCAUGCCUAUUCUGCAAGUUGUUAAGUAUGUGUAGAUUGGAAAUGAUCAUGGUCUUAAUGUGCUGCUACUGUCAAGUCUCUCCAGAUGCAUGUUAAAGUGUUAUCAAUGUCUUAGAUCUACCUCUCCUAUCCCUUGUAGCUUUUUGUGUGGAAUCUAGGUAGAAUCUUAUAACUCCUCCCCUUUCUUUUACCUCUGGUUAAGAGCAUGUUAUCUCUAUGCUUAUUUAAAAAGACUGCUUGUGUGAAAAUUGAGGGAUGAUUUUGGUUUUGCUUGUGUACAAACUGGGUUUGUCUUCUCUAUGUUUUUGGUUAACACUGACCUUAAUACCAUGCAUCAUGUUACUUAGUUUAGUGUACUUGUUUUUGUUCUCUUUAUGUUGGGCUACCUUGCAUGAUUAUUUCUGAUUCAAAGUUAAGUCUGCGUGUGUUAAUGGAGUCUGUUUGGUUUGCUGAUUAUCUAUUUGAACCAUGUCAAGAUAUCGGGGUAUUCCUUCUGGUUAUAUUUGUAGUUGUUCAUUGUGCUUGCUUUGGUUUGUUUGUUUUUGGUUUGAAAUAUAUGAGAUGCCUAUGAAUUUCCUUUCCUCUUUUUGCAUUUUGAAUCUGCUCAUGUUGGCUUAUCUUCUCAUAUUCCAUAUCUGAUUUUUUGUUUGUGGUAUGAUAUACCUCGAAGUAUACAUAGUAUAUAAAACCUUAGUAUACACCAAGUGUAUACAAGGGUUGUAUAUUAAUGUAUACCUUUCAGGUAUAUCAUGUAUACUCUGAAUAUUAUGUGUAUACCAGCCAUUGCAUAUGUCUGAAUGAGUAUAAAAAAUGAUAUAUCUUAGUGUAUAUCAGAUGUGGGCUUAUGGAUUUAUGAAUGUGAGUUUGGUUUAAUUGGACCGUUACAUGUUGAGCUGAAUUUUUUCUCUUUAAGUCUAAUAAUUAUAACUGUUAGGCCUGCUUUUGCCUCCUUUUCUCCUUUAAGCAUAAUUUGGGGCCUUUUACUUCUAUCUGCUCAUUGCUUCUAAAUUUCCUCAGUGGAUAUAACCACUCUAUACUUGAUAUAUAGGCUCAUAUGUGUGACUAUGUUUUCCCUUCAAUUUUCUAAGUUAAAUAAGUUUAUAAAUUUAGAUACCUUCUAACCGUAUUCUUCUUUUUCCCCUCCUUCCCCUUUGCAUGGAACCACUUCCUUCGGGCCAUUUGGGACAAUCUCUUUACAAGCCAAUGUUGGGCCAGAGGCCCAACACAUCUCUUUGAUCGAGUCCGCAUUAGAUGAAGGCCAAAUCAUGGGUGAAAAUGGCAACUGAUGGGCUCGGUAGGCCCACUAGCCUUACCCUCUCUUUAUUUUAUUUAUCUUUUCAUGUGUUGUAUUUGUAAAAGAACGAGUGUAAAUAUUGAAGCAUGAAUGAUUAGAACUUAGAUAUA